rnacentral:tRNA from 2 species
GCGGGCGUGGCGGAACUGGCAGACGCGCUAGACUUAGGAUCUAGUGGGCAACCGUGGGGGUUCAAGUCCCUUCGCCCGCACCA